GGGGUGAAUAUUCAUAUAUUCAUGUUCAUAUACCGUAAAAACAAUCCCUUUCAAAAGAAAUUCGUCGGGCAGAACACAAAUAUAUGAAUAUAGUUACACUGCCCCCCCCCCCCUAAUUAUCGAUCUAGCUACGGCCCUAAUAAAGCAGAAAUACCAAACUUUAAGAUAUAAAACUAUAUUAAACAUUAGAUCUGGAUUCUGGAAUAAAUCUUAUAAUAAAGCCUUAUGAUAAUACCGGGUGGCCCAAAAAAAAGUACUCCUG